GCCUCAUCCAGUAUGAUUGUUAUGACACUCGGUUUGUAAUCGAGUGGGCUCGGGUUCGAAUCCCGAAUAAGACA
rnacentral:tRNA from 1 species